AUGACUGCUCCGUGUGGGACAACUGCUCUGUAUCCUACUUCUGGAGGCAACAUCCAUUGUUUCAAAGCUAUAACUCCUUGUGCUAUUUUUGACAUCCUUUCUCCGCCUUACUCUUCUGAGGAUGGACGGCAUUGCACUUAUUUCCGGAGGUCUCCAGUAGCGGAUCUGCCAGGUGAACUCGAGGUGGAUGGAGUGACAUUCUCCGACGUGACUUGGUUGGGAGAGUUUCAACUUCCCGAUGACUUUAUGAUCCGUAGAGGGCAAUACAAAGGCCGUGUCAUCAAAACAUGACAUGUUUCAUUUUUUUGGUUCUGUCCAACUUUUAUGAUGCAUUCAGGUAAAAUGAGUAACGUGUCUACCGCCGGUCUGAGAAUAAUGAUGAUGAUUUUUAUAUUGGUGAGAAAAUAGGGGCAUUUGAGAUGUAUAUAUCAUUAUAUACCAUUACAUUAAUUUACUGACCUCACCUUAAAAUAGUUAACGGUUGGUUAGACAGAGUAUAAA
rnacentral:misc_RNA from 1 species